AGUCCUCUGGCACAGUGAUUAAAGCACUAGGCUGCUAACCAAAAGGUUGGUGGUUCGAACCCACCGGCCACCA
rnacentral:tRNA from 1 species